rnacentral:rRNA from 1 species
GGUGAACGCUGGCGGUAGGCCUAACACAUGCAAGUCGAACGGCAGCACAGGAGAGCUUGCUCUCUGGGUGGCGAGUGGCGGACGGGUGAGGAAUACAUCGGAAUCUACUUUUUCGUGGGGGAUAACGUAGGGAAACUUACGCUAAUACCGCAUACGACCUACGGGUGAAAGCAGGGGAUCUUCGGACCUUGCGCGAUUGAAUGAGCCGAUGUCGGAUUAGCUAGUUGGCGGGGUAAAGGCCCACCAAGGCGACGAUCCGUAGCUGGUCUGAGAGGAUGAUCAGCCAACCUGGAACUGAGACACGGUCCAGACUCCUACGGGAGGCAGCAGUGGGGAAUAUUGGACAAUGGGCGCAAGCCUGAUCCAGCCAUACCGCGUGGGUGAAGAAGGCCUUCGGGUUGUAAAGCCCUUUUGUUGGGAAAGAAAUCCAGCUGGCUAAUACCCGGUUGGGAUGACGGUACCCAAAGAAUAAGCACCGGCUAACUUCGUGCCAGCCGCCGCCGUAA